AGCAGCCGCGGUAAUUCCAGCUCCAAUAGCGUAUAUUAAAGUUGUUGCAGUUAAAAAGCUCGUAGUUGAAUUUCGGGGUCAGUAGGUUGGUCAUGCCACUGGUAUGUACUGGUCUCACUGAUUCCUCCUUCCUGAUGAGCCGUAAUGCCAUUAAUUUGGUGUUGCGAGGAAUCUGGACUGUUACUUUGAAAAAAUUAGAGUGUUUAAAGCAGGCUAACGCUUGAAUACAUUAGCAUGGAAUAAUGAAAUAGGACGUUCGAUCUUAUUUUGUUGGUUUCUAAGAUUGACGUAAUGAUUAAUAGGGAUAGUUGGGGGCAUUAGUAUUCAAUUGUCAGAGGUGAAAUUCUUGGAUUUAUUGAAGACUAACUACUGCGAAAGCAUUUGCCAAGGAUGUUUUCAUUAAUCAAGAACGAAAGUUAGGGGAUCGAAGACGAUCAGAUACCGUCGUAG
rnacentral:rRNA from 1 species